UGGACGGANCACCCGACGUCCGGUCGGCGUGUCCGUUCCAGCUCGCGCACUCGCGCCGCUCGGCCUAGACGGACCGGCGGCAGCGCGCACGAGAGAUCGCUGCGAUGUCGUCGGCGAGGAAACCCGCUGAACUUAAGCAUAUCAUUAAGCGG
rnacentral:rRNA from 1 species